GGAGGCUUCGCCUAGUCAGGUCUAUGGCGCGGGAUUGCUAAUCCCGUUUGGGCUUUUUGUCCAUCGAGGGUUCGAAUCCCUCAGUCUCCGCCA
rnacentral:tRNA from 1 species